GCCUUCGUGGUAUAACGGUAACACACUUGGUGCGCACUCAAGAGGUUCAGGUUCGAGCCCCGGCGAGGGCA
rnacentral:tRNA from 1 species